GUCAGGCAAAAGAAGGAUAAGAGAAGGUGGUGGUGGUGAAACCACAGGACUCCAGAGCACCUUGCCGGGGAACAGAGCCUCCGGAGCCUUCCAGGGCUGUGCUGGGACAGGAAGUCUGGCCACUGCCUGCGCUAUGUCCAGGGAUCCCAGAGAGGGCCUGACCAGGGAGCUUCUGUUUCACUUCCCCUCAGCGUGGGCCCACCCAUCCUGAGGGACCUGGGCUGUUGAUUCUUUGGGGUCUCUCACCAUGGGCUCAACUUCUGCUUCUCCUACAAGAAGUUGCCGAGCUUAGCUGCUCUGGAGCUAAGGAGAGAGCUCCUCCUAGAGAGAAUCCUGCCCUACCCGCAGCAUAACGAGACAGAUUGUGAUGUCAUGAACAUCACAUGCAUGCUUCUGCUUGUCCCACUGCCAAGGUCCCGCUACCACUUGGAUGCUCUCUUUGCGGCAACAGAAUGAGAAAGCCCGUGAAGGAGAAAGACACCCCGAGAGUUCAGGACCCCAAAGCACAGAAAACAAAAGCAAAAACUGACAAAUGGGAUUACAUCCAACGAGAACUUUGCACACCAAAGCAAUCAACAGAGUGAAGAGACAACCUAUAGAAUGUGAGGAAACCAAGACCCAAUCUCAAUGGGUGGUUCAUUAGAAGACAGAAUUUCUUACUAGUCCUAUGAGGCCGCUAACUUAGUCCAUGAGAGGCCGAGGCGGCCUCCAGCAGGAGCACACACAGGAAUGUGUUGUGUGAAUCCUAACAAGAAUACAAAUGGAAGAACGUUCAGUAGCUAAGCAAUAAGAACUAUUUAGGUCACUGGAGUGGAGAAAAAAGAGGUCGCUACUUAACAGAAAUGGCAUGUAUCCAAAUAUAGAUGCAGAUUUCUGAACACCUGUUGAACAUCAGAUGACGAAGAAACUAUUAGAAUUUUCAAAACUCCAGACCGAAAGCUUAAAAUGGUCAGUCACCAAUUGCUAAGGGGGUUUAGCCCAGAAAACCAGGUCUCCUUGAGAGAGAGAGGUUGACACAGAGAGAGAGAGACGGAGAGAGAGAGAGAGAGAGAGGGAGGGAGGGAGAGAAGGCGAGUACAGUAAUUGCUUCCGGAGACACAGCCGCGACAAAUAUUUUCAGUUGUCGAGGGUGAGGCAGGAGGGAAUGAAAGAAAUGGAAACUAACGAAUAGUAACACGACACUCCCCUUAGUUCAACAGGCUGGUGUGGCUGCACACCCUAACUUCGGAGUGCCGGCUGGGCAAAGGCAAGGCUGUGGACAAGACAAAGACUGGGGAGGUGGCACCCGGGACCUCAGAGCAGGGAGCUGGGGCACACACCCUCUACUUGCACUCACUCAUUCAUCCAGUAAAGUCCUGCCCCCAGGGCUCUAUUCACCCCAGCCCCCUCCAGCCCCAGGCACCGCCCCCUCUGCAGGAGAUGCUGAUGACAGCCUCGCUGUCCUCCUUCCAGCGCCCAGGACGGGGUGCACGGGAACAGCGGCCAGGAAGGGGGCCUCGUAUCACCGGGGACGGUCGGGGACGCCACCCGCUGGGGACAGCCGGCCGGGCUAGGCGGCCGCGCCCGGGGCAGGGCG